rnacentral:tRNA from 1 species
UCCCUUGUGGCUCAGCUGGUAAAGAAUCUGCCUGCAAUGCAGGAAACCUGGGUUCGAUCCCUGGGUUGGGAA